rnacentral:ribozyme from 1 species
UGUCCAACAACUCCUUUCCCUACCUAUCGUGGUACUGGCUAGGGUUACGAGCAACCUUAGGGAAGAUUGGGUAAUUCAAUCUGGUGGGAACUUCGAAUGCUGACAGGGAAGG